AGAAUCAACGCUGGCGGCGCGCUUAACACAUGCAAGUCGCACGAGAAAGGGGAGCAAUCCCUGAGUAAAGUGGCGCACGGGUGAGUAACACGUGGGUCAUCCACACUUCAGUGGGGAAUAACCCUGGGAAACCGGGGCUAAUACCGCAUACGCCUGAGAAGGGAAAGCAGCAAUGCGCUGGAGAAGGAGCCCGCGGCCGAUUAGCUAGUUGGUGGGGUAACGGCUCACCAAGGCGACGAUCGGUA
rnacentral:rRNA from 1 species